rnacentral:lncRNA from 1 species
AUGUCUUCUCGCUUCCUGGCCAGAGGACAUAAUAACAGCUGGGUGCCUCCGUUUGCUAAAGUGCAUGGAAAAGAACAAGACCCCCACUUUAUUAAACCCCCAGUGUCAAAAGUACGGCCCCUGAUGGAAGAUGGCCAGAGCAGAACAAUAGAAAGGAGUCCUAUGUCCCCAAGAAGGAUUGAGGAUCAAAAGACAGACUCUACUCCUCCACUAAUACCACAGAAGAAGAAGAAGACGUCAUGGUCUAACCUGUGGAGGUCGUCCAACUCUCUUUCGAGAGCUCCACUGCUACAGGACACAGCGACACGUUUACAGAAAUCACACUCUGCCCAGAACCUGGCCUCAAAUGCUCUUUAUUCCCCCGUGCCCUAUAGUGACCAAAGGGAGUUGCGCAAAAGAGCUCAGCAGCUGUUUCUGGACUGCGACACUCACAGGCCUGCCUUCCAAUCAUCCUCAAACUCAUCUGGGUCCCCAAAAUCACCCCAGUCUCCCCUGCCAUGGGAGAGCCCCAAACUCAGGUCUCAGCACUCAUACAUGAACCCCACAGCCAGUUCCGCGGCCAAAUGCAGCCGCUCUGUCUCUAUGGGAGAUGAUAUCCACAUGGGCAGUCCUCCUCGCUCCCCUUCCUUUUCCAGUCGCAGGAUUUCAUCUGGGGAAAUACAGGUUGAGCCUCCUAUGCUCAGUUUACCUGUAGUCACUGUUUCGCCUCCAUCAGCUUCUCCCCCUUUGUCACGUCUUUCAUCAAACAAUCUCUCCGCUGCUUCACCUAAUCGCAAAGCCUCAAUUGCAUCCAUUCAUUUCGCCCAGAACAUCCCCCCCUCUCGUAUCCCGCUUCCCAAGCAGCCUCUGAGCUCCCGCCGCAGCCUCUGCUUGGAGGUGAAGCACAGCUCAAGUUGGUCUGGGGCCUCUGCAGGGGCUACUUCACCUACAAUUGAACCUGGAUGUGGAACUUCAGGAAACAGAGUAUUGUGUAGACAUUUGUCUCUGGGUCUGGAUACAUCUAUGCCAAGUUUAGUACAAACGGAGAGGAGAAGAAGCUCGGUUUCAGAGAGUGCCAAGGAGGCAGGACAGGUGGCUAUAGCUACAGAGUGCCCUCUGGUGCCUGAGCAGACCCACACAACAAGUGCUGACCCCAAGCCAGGUCUGAGCUCCCAGAACUCCUUUAUUAACCUGUCCAUUGCUAUCGCUCCUCUUCUUCAUCACU